UGCACAUUUAAAUCAUACUGCUGAAGUCUUAUCCAUAUUACAAUAUAUAUAAAAAUAUAUAUAAACAAUAGUAUGCCCCUGCGAUCUUAUCAAUACCAAAAAUAAGAGUGAGAUGUUGUGAGAUAUAUUUUCUGAAAACCUUUUUCAAAUUUAGGACAUUUUCCUUUUUGGUGUAUGUCGUUUACACCGCGGUUGUUUUUGCAUUUCAAAUGUCCCUUUUUUAAUGAUUCUUUUUCUCCGGAAGGCAUUUGUUAAUUUUUCCUUAUACAUUAUUAAGUUGACAAUAAAAUUUUGGUCCUGAAUGCUCUCCAAUUUCGUACUUUAUUUGGCCUUUUUACCAUUUUUGGAUUCGAGCAUCACUGAUAGUCUUUUGUAGACAAAACGCGCGUCUGGCGUAAAUAUAAAAUUUAAUCCUGGUAUCUGUAUAAUGAGUUUAGUUAUUGACUAGAAAACAAAACCUC
rnacentral:lncRNA from 1 species